rnacentral:rRNA from 1 species
UACGUAGGGUGCAAGCGUUAAUCGGAAUUACUGGGCGUAAAGCGUGCGCAGGCGGCUUUGCAAGACAGAUGUGAAAUCCCCGGGCUUAACCGGGGAACUGCGUCUGAUACUGGAUGGCUGGAGUUUGGGAGAGGGAUGCGGAAUUCCCAGUGUAGCGGUGAAAUGCGUAGAUAUUGGGAGGAACACCAGUGGCGAAGGCGGCUCACUGGACCGGAACUGACGCUGAGGCGCGAAAGCGUGGGGAGCAAACAGG